GACGAACGCUGGCGGCGUGCUUAACACAUGCAAGUCGAACGAAAAGGCCCUGCUUUUGUUGGGUGCUCGAGUGGCGAACGGGUGAGUAACACGUGAGUAACCUGCCCUUGACUUUGGGAUAUCUUCAGGAAACUGGGGCUAUUACCGGAUAGGAGCUCCUGCUGCAUGGUGGGGUUUGGAAAGUUUCGGCGGUUGUGGAUGGACUCGCGGCUUAUCAGCUUGUUGGUGUGGUAGUGGCUUACCAAGGCUUUGACGGGUAGCCGGCCUGAGAGGGUGACCGGCCACAUUGGGACUGAGAGACGGCGCAGACUCCUACGGGAGGCAGCAGUGGGGAAUAUUGCACAAUGGGCGGAAGCCUGAUGCAGCAACGCCGCGUGCGGGAUGACGGCCUUCGGGUUGUAAACCGCUUUCGCCGGUGACGAAGCGUGAGUGACGGUAAUGGGUAAAGAAGCACCGGCUAACUACGUG
rnacentral:rRNA from 1 species